rnacentral:rRNA from 1 species
UACAGAGGUCCCAAGCGUUGUUCGGAUUCACUGGGCGUAAAGGGUGCGUAGGUGGCGAGGUAAGUCGGAUGUGAAAGCUCGGAGCUCAACUCCGAAAUGGCAUUGGAAACUACCUUGCUCGAGGGUUGGAGGGGGGACUGGAACUCUCGGUGUAGCAGUGAAAUGCGUAGAUAUCGAGAGGAACACCAGUGGCGAAGGCGGCUUCCUGGCCUGUUCUUGACGCUGAGGCGCGAAAGCUAGGGUAGCAAACGGG